AUGCCGGUUUGUAUGGGCCGGCGUGUUUGCGCGUGUCUAGUGCGUACGUGUUUUGUGAGUGUGUUGUCUGUGGGUCGAUGUGUGUGCGUGCACGUGUUAGCGUGUCUGCCUGCAUGCAUGUAUGUGUGCUUGUUUGUGUUCAUCAAUGUGCGCGUGCGCGCUUUUGUGUCUGCGCUUUGAGAGUGCGUAUACUUGUGUGUGCGUGUGGAUGCGUUUUGUGUGCGUGCGUAUGUAUUGCAUGAGGCCGGUAGAGUUUUACUCGCAAUAAAACUCUUCCGAUUUGGUGCAGCGAGUGUUCCCGCCUGAAAGCCGAGUUUGGUUUCAAGCCACCCUGGACAACUGCUGUAUGAGGCGCCGUUUCUCGGGAGGACCAGUGGGAAGGCGCCAAGUCAUGCAGAUGGUAGCAGCGAUUUCACAAUGCCCAGCCUUGGCGCCCCCCAUCAAGAGCAAGCCACUUGCUUUCGCCUUCAGACAGAUGGUUAACGUCUUCUUGAAAGCGGUUGAGAAGACAACAUUGCUGCAAGAUUCCAGCAAUGCCAUGCGCUGCAUUUAUUGGUCAAGAUGCUCAGAGAAUGGAGUCCCUGCACCUCGUGGUUAACCGUGAACAUUUCUUUUUCUUUUGGAAAGCUAAAGGCCAUUUGCUGCAUCACUUGCAUUUUUGCAGCUCAGAUGUGUACUAUAUUUUUCUAAUUUUGAAUCAAUAUUGGCUAUUCAGUAUAAAAAAUGACGUACAGCGUGAAGGACAAGGACUGCGAGAGACACACUCCACUGACUUUCAACAAUAUUUUAUUGCGUUGCCACAUCGUGUGUGUAUACACAGAGGGGUCAUGCGCAGAAAAUGAAAGCCAGACACAAGGGGUGUUCUAACAGCAAGUCAUUGUAAAAAGAACAUGGUCACUUGAAAAAAAAAACAUCACAAUUUCUAUCUGUUUAGAUACAAAAUUUCACUAGGGGUCAGCGUGAUAGAGGGGGCACUAACGCACACACUACCCAGUUUUCUGGUGAAAUCAGCUUCAAUAAUUUACCGGGUGAGCUGUGUCUCGCUAAAACUUCCGUAUCUUAAAGAGGGGCAUGCAGCCGCAGUCCCGGCAAUGAAUGCCCAAGUGGCCUUGAACAGUGUUAUGGACGUUGUUAUAGUGCUCUCUUAAACGAUCAUUUAGGCGCCUGCCUAUCUGUCCAAUAUAUUUACUGCCUCAAAAUGGGAAUUUGGGAAACCACAUUCAUUGCACACAUCGCAAAACGUUUUCUGUGCUCGGCAGAGCAACAACUCUGACGUGAUUUAGGCGCGUUUACACACUUACAGAGCCUUGCCAGCUUUUCCGGGGCUGAGAAAAGGACUGUGAUUUCUGCAGGUCCCCUAAUCUUUUUUAGCCUAUGGGAGACAUCAUGAACAUACGGUAGCACUGCAAACCUGUGUCUUUCAACCGGCUGGUUCCUUGACCGAGCGUGCUCAUCAUGUUUUGUGCACUUCAGAAGCUGUUCCGCUAUGGCUGAAAUUAAGGCCAAAGGGUAGCCAACCCAAGAAAGGCAAUCAGCCUGUGCAGCAACGCUAUGUUGCAUCUCUUGUGAGCAAGAUUUAUUGAGGCUGUUAAGGAGGCAAAGCUUCACAAUAUCUCAUUUGACUUUGUUGGACAGACAGGCAGGCGCCUAAACAAUCAUUUAGGAGAGCACGAUAACAACGUCCAUAACACUGUUCAAGGCCACUUCGGCAUCCAUUGCUGGGACUGCGGCUGCAUGCCCCUCUUUGAAGGUACGGAAGCUUUAGUGAGACAGGUCAUCCGGGAAACUAUAGAAGCAGAUUUCACUAGAAAACUGGUUAGUGUGUGCGUUAGUGACCCCUCUAUCGUGCUGACCCCUAGUGAAGUCUUGUAUCUCAACAGAUAGAAAUUCUAAUGUUUAUUUUUUUCAAAGGACGAUGUUCUUAGUACAGUCACUUGCUGUUAGACACCCCUUGUGACUCAUAUUCUGCGCAUGCCCGCUUUUGUGCAAAUAUACUCGAUGUGGCAACGUAAUUAAAUAUUGUUUGAAGUCAGCGCAGUCUGUCAUCUCUCGCAGUUCUUGUCAUUCAAGCUGUACGUAAUUUUAUCUCAUUAAUUGCAAACUAUCCCAAGGAACUACCCUUGUUCAGUAUAAUUAUAAUGUUUGAUAUGACCAUUUGCUGGCAAAUGUUAACAGUGUGAUAUUUAACUUGAACUUUUGCAUGACUGCCUAUGCCUGUGUUCUUUUAGUAACCAGAGUAUGGCUAAUUUAUUAAACCAUAUUUGCUAAUUUGCAUGCUCACAUGCUAUAGCAUGCCUUAAUCUUGAAUUACUGCAUCUAAGUGCAAAUAAUUUAGAAAUUUACUAUGUAUUUUAAAACACUGUCCACAUUUUGUGCUCAGCAAAAUCGUUUAAUCAACAGUGGUUUGUUUUUAUCAGGCCUCCUGCUGCACUUUGCACCCAGGCACUAGUAGAUGUGGAAUAUGCACUCUUUUGAUUUAUAGUAACCAAAGAACCUAUUUUCAAACUACAUAUUGUAUAUGUACCAGUGCCUUAGAGUUACAAAACAAAAAUUUACAGAAACUGGUAUUGUAGUUAGAAAAACCGCUACACAGCACCUUUAGCCCAGAGAACUCUCAUUUCACAAAAGAGGACAAACUAUGUAGGCGCUAAAAAAUUCUAUGUAUUUUUUGUGCUCAAGUAAUCUUGUUGGAAAUAGAAAAUUAGCAAUAAGGCUCCUGGCAUAAACCUCACUUAAAGCAUGUCUAUGCUUGGAAAGUAUUCUUUCAGUCUGAAAAAUGUUGGCCAGUUAUGCUUUACAUCGACUUUCCAAACUUUUCAUAAUGCUUUGCGAUUACAUUAGUGUACAAAAUAACAGGUGUCUUUCUUGUGCGUUUGCUCUGCAUUU